UUGAUCGGGUGGCGAUCAUCUCACGUUCGAGAUCGAUUCCGUUGCUCACUAGGGUUCGCUUCGUGCCUCCCUCUCCGACCACCCCCGGAGUCCGUCGCUCUCUGAACCAGUAAAAUGUUUUCCAUCGUUCCUGAGGUCUUCUCGCUGCUCGUGGAACCGAUCUUGUUUUUGAGUUGUUCUCUGUGCUUGUUUUUUGGGCGUGGGGUUGGCUGGCCCUGAGGCUCCGGCUAAGGGCAAUUAUCGGCUAAGAAGGGUUAUAGUGAUUGAUCAUCUUGUCUUGUUAGCAAGUGAGAUAGGUGGGUUUCUUUUUUUGGUUUGGACUAAUUGCCUAUCAGUUACUGAUGCUUUAUGCAGAAUUCUAGCCUCAUUGGUUUGAAGCCAAAAUCAUUGGAUAGUGCUUCAAGUAUGGCAGUCUCCAUGAAGAAUGUUGAUUCCGCUUUCCAGGAAGCUGGGCAAACGCCAUAUCCUCACAAUGUUACUCUUAUUCUAGCUGAUUCUGUUAUUUGACCUUCCGAUGUUAUAUCUGUUCAAUCUGAGAUAUGCAGAAGAACGCAUGUAAUUGUUAAAAGCAGGGUGUAGUUUGCAUUUAGUUCAUCAUCUAUUUUCCAAACUUGGAAGAAAUUUUAAGGGAAACAUAGUUAACAUGAUUAAAGAAUCUGAGAACAGAACCGAUUGACUAGACCUACUCAACUAACAAAAUUUUAGAACCUAUUAUAUGUCUGACAAACUAUCUGAUUUGAAUUCAACAUGAUCUUGAAGAAGUGAAGAGUUUAACUCUUAUUAUCUGUUGCCUCGGAUAAAAUCCUUAAUGAAGUUUUGAGUUUAGGACUUGAAUCAGUUGUGGUAUUCUAGGCUCUGUUUUUCAAUGCUUAAUACCACGUUGAGAUGUUAGGUGCAUUGGUUGGUUGUUCAAUGAAAGACUUGCCUGAAGGAAGAAUCCUACGGCAUGUAGGAUGAGCAGAUCUGAGAUACAGACUGAGGAGAAGUAGACACUGGAUUGUGCAGACGGUAAUCAAGUAGAGAUUCACUUGCAGUUCUCAUCAAAUGAAUCAUCAACCUGGAGACUGUCAGAUCUGAUGCAGACUUAAAAAGCUGUAAUAAUGUAGUAAAAUUUUCCUGCAAAAUGAUCAUAAAAAAAUAUAGGUAUAUGCUUGUAUGCUGCAGCUCCUACAUCAAAAGCUGAUACAUGCUAUUGAAAUUUUGGCUUUUUGUUGCUGUCAUUGGCCCUUUAUGACUCUGCAGAUGGUGUUGUAUGCAGAUUUUGUUUCCUUUAGAACAAA